CAGAUGAGAUGUUUCAGCCAACAGAAACCGCAUCAGAGCAUGAUUCCAAAUGCUCACACUUGAAUAUUUUAUACUUACUGUAAAUGUCAAUGGAAUUCCUGGUUACACUGUAUGUCAGAAACACACCUGAUGGCAGAUCCAACAGGAGAAAGGGAGGAAAUCUAAAGACAUCUAAAGUAGGAACAACAGGCAUGGGAAGGAUGAUGGAGAGGCACAAAGAAUUUUACUGGAAGCACUAAAGCAAGACUUCAUAAGCUUCCUCUUUUUUCUUCUAAGAUGGAGCAGAAGUUAAGAUCUCCACUAGACUUGAGGCUGUAUUCCAAGCAAUUGCCUAGCAGGAUAUGCAUCCAGAGUGCUACUCAAAACAUAACUGAAUUAUCCUAGAGUAAGAAAGAAAUUAUGGGAGUUGUUCUUGGUGGUUUCAUAAAUAUACAAGAUAUACAAAGAUAUUUGUAACCCUAUAUUUAGGAAGCCAGCAUACAAAGUAACUAGUGAGCCAUUGGUGGGCUGCAAGGGCAGACAUAGGGGAGGUUUCAGAGGUAGUUUAACCCCUUCCAAACAUUUCCACAGCACUUGGUAUUGUCAUGCUGAGACACUGCAGGGCUCUAUACAUGCCGUUUCCCAAACAAGGAGCAGUACAGUCAGAUUAGAGCAGAUUUGCAAUUGGACAAUAAUUAGAUUUAAUGAGAGGCAUGGCUGAUUAGUCUGAGCACACCACUGUACUAGCACAGCUAUAUUGCUUUCAGCUUGGGAGGGAAUUUGUGCAGAGCUAACUUGCAGCAUUAUGGAUGGCACUGCCCUGUGCCAACUUAGCAGCUCCCUAAAUGCAUUUUAGUCUGCUUCUGGUUACAGGUUCUCUACUAAUGGUUCCAGAGGUUGUGUCAAUUGCACUUGUUAAGCUGGACUCAGGAAGCAAAAUGAUUGAGAACUACUAACCUAGAUUUGAGAGAGAGAAAGAAAGAGAGAGAAAAUAAAAUUGCAAAAGUUCUUAUAACUGUGAAAGAU
rnacentral:lncRNA from 1 species